AAGCUAUAAAGAGCCCCAAAAUUACUAGUGUAAAACCAUUCAAACGGGAAAACCAACGGUCUAAUCUAUAUAAAAUUUUAAAAACUAGAAACUAGAAACACGUACAAAUUACAUAAACAAACGACACCUACUGUACAUUAGAUUCCUGACUUAGGACUUAGGACAGGUGCAAACAUUUGCAGCGGGAUUAAACGUUUUAAUGGAUCCAAACCUACUCCCUUUUUCUGAAACAAUAGCAUAACAUCACAACAUAGAAAAACACACGAUAAAAUAUCAAUUGGCAGGCUUAACUCAAUCAAAAAACGUACAUUAAUACACUAUAAACGAAUAAAUUUGAUCUGCGAUAUCUGAAUGCAAAUGCACUGUUAAUAAAAUAUUAGGGACAAACAUUCAAGGCCAAAAAGCAAACAAACAAGUCCAAACAAAGCCAUGUCAAGACACCACUGCGAAAUAUUUAACCCUUCGAAAAUAUUCAUUUUAGAAAAAAAAAACAUUUUUAAAAAAUACACGUAAAUCUUGAAGUUUAUACAAAUGUAGUAAGAAGAAGUGAUAUUCCAAAUAAUCAAAGCUGGUAUAUAGACAAGAUCCAUAUAAAUAUAAAAUAACAAAAAAGCAUUAUAAACAUUAUCAACAGGUCGAAUUAACAAGAAAAUACGAUUUGAGAGUACUCGCAGUUACUGACAGCUAGUUAUAAACCAAAAA
rnacentral:lncRNA from 1 species